rnacentral:rRNA from 1 species
GACGAACGCUGGCGGCGUGCCUAAUACAUGCAAGUCGAACGCAGUGGGGACGGGUGAGUCACACGUGGGUAACCUCCCAUCAGAGGGGAUAACACUUGGAAACAGGUGCUAAACCGAUACUGAUGGAUGGACCAGCGGUGCAUUAGCUAGUUGGUGAGGUAACGGCGCACCAAGGCCACGAUGCAUAGCAGGCCUGAGAGGGUGACAGGCCACACUGGGACUGAGAGAGGGACCAGACUCCUACGGAAGUCAACAGGAGAGAAGCUGCGGCAAUGGACCAAAGUCGGACCGAGGAACGCCGCGGGAGUGAGGAAGGUUUUCGGAUCGUAAAACUCUGUUGGUAGAGAAGCGGUAUCUAACCAGAAAGCCACGGCUAACUACGUGCCAGCAGCCGCGGGAAUUC